GUGUCAGCCGCCGCGGUAAUACGGAGGAUCCAAGCGUUAUCCGGAUUUAUUGGGUUUAAAGGGUGCGUAGGCGGUCCUAUAAGUCAGUGGUGAAAGACGGCAGCUUAACUGUCGCAGUGCCUUUGAUACUGUAGGACUUGAAUCUAUUUGAAGUGGGCGGAAUAAGACAAGUAGCGGUGAAAUGCAUAGAUAUGUCUUAGAACUCCGAUUGCGAAGGCAGCUCACUAAGUUAGUAUUGACGCUGAUGCACGAAAGCGUGGGGAUCAAACAGGAUUAGAAACCCUCGUAGUCC
rnacentral:rRNA from 1 species